UCUUGAUAAAGGAACUGAUGCCGUUAAGACCAAGCUUGGUGAAGCUUGAUAGGUAGAAUAACUGAUUGUGAUACAAACCAAUAGAAUCAGAGUUGAUUAGAUCAAUUUCGGAGCUCGAUGUAAAGGCAUCCUUGAGUAGAUAUGGUAGAGUACCGUAUCACCCAAACAGAUACUUCAGUUUUUAGAUUCGAGAUGGAGAUUUGAUCUCCCAUACAGAUGCUAUAUAGGGAUCUAACUUUGAGAAGUG
rnacentral:lncRNA from 1 species